AUGGUGAGCACGAGCACCCACACGUCGGUGCAGCGGCGGCGGAGGCAAUGGACGCUGGCGCUGGUGACGGUGGCGUCGCUGCUGGAGCGCGCCGACGAGGCCCUGCUGCCGGCCGUGUACAGGGAGGUGGGCGCCGAGCUGGGCGCCUCCCCGGCCGCGCUGGGCUCCCUCACGCUGUGCCGCGCGCUCGUCCAGGCCGUGUGCUACCCGCUCGCGGCGUGCGCCGCGGCGCGCCACGACCGCGCGCGCGUCGUCGCCGCGGGCGCCUUCCUCUGGGCCGUCGCCACCAUACUCGUCGGCGUCUCCGGCACUUUUCUCCAGAUGGCGAUCGCGAGGGGGUUUAACGGCGUCGGCCUGGCGCUGGUGGUGCCGGCGAUGAACUCCCUGGCGGCCGACUACAGCGACGACACGACGCGCGGCUCGGCGUUCGGGUGGCUGGGGAUGGCGAGCCGCCUGGGCGCCAUGAUGGGGGGCACACUCGGCGUGCUGCUCGCGCCCACGACCUUCCUCGGCGUCCCCGGCUGGCGCCUGGCAUUCCACGUACUCGCGCUUCUCAGCGUCGCGCUGGCCGUCUCGACGUGGUUCCUCGCCUCAGACCCCCGUCCGCCCAGCACGUCCGAGAAGAGCACGGCAUCGGUGGCCAGGGAGCUCCUCGGAGAGGCCAAGGACGUGGUGCGCUUGCCGACGUUCCAGAUCCUGGUGGCGCAGGGGGUGGCCGGGUCGGUGCCGUGGACGGCGCUCACCUUCGCCGCCAUGUGGCUGGAGCUCGUGGGGUUCACGCACUGGGAGACCAGCGUCAUCAUCAACCUCAACCAGCUGACCGGGGCGCUCGGCUCGCUGUUCGCCGGGCUCAUCGGGGACCCCAUGGCCCGGCGGUUCCCGAACGCCGGCAGGGUCGCGCUGGCGCAGGUGAGCACGGCGUCGACCGUCCCGGUCGCCGCCGUCCUGCUGCUCGCGCUGCCCAUCGACCCCUCGGCCGGGGCCGCGUACGCCGCCGCCUUCGCCGUCCUGGGCUUCGUCAUGCCCUGGUGUCCCCCGGCCACCAACAACCCAAUACUCGCGGAGAUCGUGCCGGCGAAGGCGAGGACGACGGUGUACGCGCUGGACAGGUUCUUCGAGACGAUCUUCUCGUCGUUCGCGCCGGCCGUCGUGGGCAUCCUGGCGGAGCGGGUCUUCGGAUACAAGCCGGCGUCGGGCGCCACCGGGAAGACUGAACGGGAGAACGCCGGCGCGCUGGCGAAGGCUGUUUUCGCGGAGAUCGCCGUGCCCAUGGCCAUCUGCUGCAGCAUCUACUCCAUGCUCUACUGCACGUACCCAGCAGACAGGCAGCGCGCGCAGAAGGCAGCUCUGAUUGCGCCGGAAGAACAGGACUGUGAAGAUGCUACUUCUAGUACUGCUACUGGGGUGGAUGGCUUAAACCAGGCAUUGCUAGCCAGAAGUGACUAG
rnacentral:rRNA from 1 species